ACUUCCCUUGGGCGAUGAUUCCAAAGGUUGGGCUCAAUGGUGUUUUAUCAUAGGUUGAAGGCCAUGUUUAUUGGGCUAAUAAAUGUGUUUCAAAGACUGGUGUGGCAGCCAGAUUUACAAAUGCUUGGUCUGGGAGGCAGGGAGGGGUAGAGGGGUGAAAUACACCUGGACUAAAGGCACACUUUCACAUUAGACAAGACCUCAGAAGGAAGAGGAGCUUUCCGCAGUACAGUUUUAUCAUUCCGGACCGUGACCCACAGAAAGAGCAGCCAUGUCCUCUGGAGCAGCCUAAAGUAGACCCUGAUGCAGCCUUUGUCUAUGACUAUGAGACUCUGCGGAUUGGAGGCCUGGUGUUUGCAGGGGUCAUUGUGGUG